rnacentral:miRNA from 1 species
CAGCCUCUGCCCUUGGCCUCC